UACGAAGGGGGCUAGCGUUGUUCGGAAUCACUGGGCGUAAAGCGCACGUAGGCGGAUGUGCCAGUCAGGGGUGAAAUCCCGGAGCUCAACUCCGGAACUGCCUCUGAUACAGCACGUCUUGAGUUCGAGAGAGGUGGGUGGAAUUCCUAGUGUAGAGGUGAAAUUCGUAGAUAUUAGGAAGAACACCGGUGGCAAAGGCGGCCCACUGGCUCGAUACUGACGCUGAGGUGCGAAAGCGUGGGGAGCAAACAGG
rnacentral:rRNA from 1 species